CCCAGCCAGGUUGAACGCCGCCCCGUUCUCAUCUGCGGGAUCCCGGUUGCCGCCUCACCCACGACCCUCUCCUCCGCGGCCCAGUCCGCUCGAACGCCGCCGCCCUCCUCACUGGCGGGAUCGGAGCCGCCAGCCUCACCCGCGGGAUCGGAGCCGCCGGCCACCGCCCACCUCGCCUGAAGGAUCAGAUACCACUACUCUUCUACACCGACCCAUCACCGGCCACCGGUGGUGCAUCACCUGCUUUGCCUUACUGUGCCGUUUCGAAGAAGCUGUGGGUGGAAAUUCCCGAACCGCUGCGCCGAAGGUGGUGUGAUGCCGGCGAUGGGUCCGCUGGCAAUUCGAUAUGCGAGGAUGUCGCUGCCAACUCGGGAAGUGUGUUCACAGGAUGAUUCAUAUCAUGCUUGAAAAUGCGCAAUCCUGCCUGCUAAAUCUGGAUAACCAUGAGCUAAUUAUUACAAAUGAAUGCUAAUUUUGACCCUACUGGCCUCACGAUUGAUUCCAAAUUUAUUUGUGAGGUUGUAUGCCAAGGAUAUUAGAUCAUAGACAUUUGCUAUUUCUAUGAUUUGUAUCCUGCCUCCCCACUGUAUCAUGUAUCAUGUAGGUAACUUGUUCUAUAUCUACAAAAGUUACUUGCUGUAAAAUAGACUGUAGAUGUAUGUGUUUCUUCGUCCGUAUUGACCAGGACAUGAGACUAAACAAGUGUUAUUUUACUCCUUGGUUUUGCAGCGAAAAUGGAACAUAUAUCAAUCUUGUAAUGGAUGUUCGGGAUGCUUUUGAGGGAAAUGAUUUGGUGAAAUAUUGAUUGCGAGGGUUUGGAACCAAGUGACAGCAAAAAAAAUGAAGCAAAGCUGAAGGUUCUCAUCCCCCCAUAGCCAUUAUGUUACCAUGUAGUUACAGAUGAUGGAAAUAUAUCAUGUACUACUUCUGAACAAAAUAUAAGACAUUUUUGUAGGCUAAACUAGCCUACUAAAACGUCUUAUAUUUUGAUACGGAGGGAGUAUAUACUUUCUUAUACCCUAAACAAAAAAUAUGUGGUUCUCUAUGUGUAGGAUCUUGUUCCUUGUGUUCUCCUGUCAUUUGACAAUGAGUAGAUAUUAAUCUACAGAGGCAGUGAAUGGAACUCUAGAUACUCAGCCUCCCACUAUCACUCCAAAAGUUCAAAAGAAUAAUCUGGCAGUGUCAACUGCUUUGAGUAACUCAGGUAUCAUCUUUAAUGUUCACAAUGAUCCAUACACAAGGCAGCAGUAAAUGGGGAAACAGAUAUGCUUACAUCAAUACCAUAGUGCAAUUUUUGAUUUAAAAAACUGUGCAAUUUCAGGAUGGGUGGUUAGAAGAGCUGGAAGGGAAGGCGCAAGAACAUGAUAAGAAGGAUGUUGCACAACAAGAGAAGAUAAAGGAGCUCUAGAUUGUUGUAGAGAAGAUUAUCAGUUUUUACUGGCGGCCGUUAGAAGCUGUAUAGAAGAUGAUGCAUUUUUAUUAGAUUCAAGUGAGAUUAUUCAGAUUUGCAUAAAAAAGUUGUAUAGAAGUUGAUGCAUUUUUAUUAGAUUCAAGUGAGAUUAUUCAGAUUUGCAUAAUCAGUGCCGAGGAUCGUGCAAAGCUAAAUUAUCUUUGUUGUUGCUGCUUAUCCUUGAGGAAGCUUGUGGUUAAGAACUGGACUCAGCUCCAAGGACUAGGGGGCAACCUUUUCUUUGCUUGGUUAUCAGUUGAUUAUUUCACUAUAUAUUUUGUUCAGUUUAGCUAUAAGCAUCAGACCUUAACAGGAAAUUCAAUUUGAUUUACUUGGCCAUGAUCAAUGAACACAUAUAUUACACAAGCUCACCAAAUGAACGAGAAUUUGACAACAAAGAAUGAAUCACGAGAAGUAAGCAUACAAAAGUGGCUCCUACCUUGGAGAGAAGUUGUCACAAAUAGAUUGCGGACAAAAGUUUAUAGAUAGAAGCUCAUAUGAAGCACCCCUCCGUUCACAAAUUUGAAACGGAUGGAGCGGAGGGAGCAGUACGCAAGACUUGACACAAUAUGAAAUGAAAUAUACGUAUUCAAACAAUUAAAUCUAAAAAUCUCCAGCCUGUCCCCUGCAAACCCGUGACCUCCAUCUUCGAAAGGAGAAGGGCUGGUGCCAUCAACCAUAUCAAAAACAUAGAAAGUGAAGCUGUGACAACGUGUGGUGAUGUGAUCCUCCACCGAUCCAACAUGGAUGAUGACUCCAUGCACCAUCGUGCGCUUUUCUGUCGGCGGUGAGGUUGGGCCGUCCGGCUCCGGCAGCUCCAUGUGCUAAUCUUUGGCACGUUGGAUGGGUCCUGCAUCCACACCUCCACGAGAAGAUAUCAGUCUUCUUUCCUUAUUUCUCACUGUGUUCUAUACAAGAGACACACUCAACAAGGAUUAACAUUCAUCCAUGUGACCAAAUAUCAGUCUUUUUCUAGAUUUAAUCAUAAAUCAGCACCACUUUGGUUCUUGCAUAAUAUGAUCUUAAUUACUAUCACAUUUUAUGGGUAAAGACUCAGACAGUACCAAACAGUUUGCUAGUCCAGUGCCUAAUCAGAAGAACAUUGUCUGAAUCUCUUACUAUAACUGUUUUUCACAGCACAAAGGUUCUGAACCCAUCAACUUGCAAGUCAUAUUCUAAUGAAAUUUACCAUGUUUAGUAUUACCUACUGACUCUAAUCACUACCUACUGACUCUAAUCACUGUAAUCAAAAGCACUGAGAAGGGGGAAGUAUACCUCUGUACUGUUGAGUAAAUAGGCAAUUUCUCGAUUAAAUUAAUCCAUGAGUAAAUCACUAGCAUGGCAUUGACUAAGUUGAUGACGUACUGACUCUGAUCUAAACAUGCACGUACUAAGCAAACAGUAGACAAAUCUACACAUACUGCUAGUACUGCUAAUAUGAAAAUAAUCAGGAGCGGGAUAAACGAGUUAUACCCUCCAGUAGGCCACGCAGAGGCCGCGGCUUUGGUGGCAGCAGCGGCGUCCUCGGCGACCUUCUUGUCGGCUUCAGCUUUCUCGGCGGCGGCACGGUCGGCGUCGGUGGACAUGGUGAUGAUGAAGGCGACGCGGACGUAGAGGAAGUAGACGAUCGGAAGCGAGCAGUCGCGUAAUCGCUGCCCAAAAACCUAUUCGCCCCUCACCCCGUACAAGAACCAGAAGGGCGUGGUUUCGGAGACCUGCUCUCCCGUCGACCGUGUACGCGGCGGACGGGACGGAGUCACCGGCGGCAGCAGCAGCAAAGGAACGACGGUGGGCGUGCGCGUGAGCAGAUGUGAUCUGUUCGUGACGGCUAGGAUUAGGAGACACCGCAUACUUAUAGACACAGCCGCGUGGAGAGACGUGGGCUCGACCCACGUCCGAGUCCGUGACAGCCCACGAUCCGACGUCUCAGAUCGUGGCCCAGCUGUCAGAAAACUCUCCGUUAGUGACUGGCAAAAAUAAGCGCGUAGGUGUGAGCUCGGCUCGGCUCAAUCCCGCAACCCGCGGCGCGUCGUGACGAGGCGUGGCGUGGCGAGGCGGGCGGCGGAGGAGGAGGGCGCGAGGGCCUCUUCUCUUCUCAAGCUCCAAUAGCAUGUAGAAGAGAAACCCUUAUAAACCACUCCAACUCUCCUUCCACUUCCGGGGUGGGACUAAACUUCCCACCACACCUAGUGCCAUAUAACCCACAUGGGCCCUUAGAGAUUUUUCAGAAAUUGCAAUAUGGGCCUAGAGCCCAUCUCAGAUUUCAGCAAUCCCCCACCAGAUCUCGAGGGCCCAUUGUGUCCUCUGUUCCAAUUGCUGUUUCGAUAUACCAGUGUUUCAGUAAAGACCUGUUAAGGUUGAACUUCACCUAGAACAAGUGGCUACACUCCUUCACAACUGAACAAUGGACUAUGCCUUGAAUUGUCAGUUUGGUGUAAAGAAGUUUCACUACAUGUCUUACUAGUACUAGGCUGCCGAAGGCUGACCCCUCGGGUGGAGCAUAUAAGUUACACUCCUGGCCUAUUCAUGAGCUUACUAGAGAUCACCCCAAUCUCAUAGACUGUGACCAGCAGUCGGGCUCAUAUAGGUGUGUUCCUCCAAAGAUCUCUCUGUAGGAUAGCAUCUUGCUUUUAUAAGCUUUGGAACACAUUGAGACCGUAGUCAUCCUACCAUACAGUAUCGAGAGUAUUGCAUCUCCAACGGAGUGGGUUAGUAUAGUUACUCUCCUCAGUUCACCACUGGCUUGUUUUCCCAGGUCCUAGUUCACGGGAUCUCCGAUCAUAUAGGUUGGGUUACCACCAUGGCAACUCAUGUGGGUCUCAUACCCAUCUCCCUCGAUGCAUUAUCUAUCACAACACGUGAUAGCCCUUUUGUAAAGGGAUCUGCCAGAUUCUUAGCCGUAUGGACAUAGUCCAACGCUAUCACUCCGGAGUUUCUUAAUUUUCUGACAGCUUUUAAUCUCAUUCUUAUGUGUUUGGUGGACUUCAUGUUGUCCUUUGAACUCUUCACCUUGGUGAUGACAGUCUGAUUGUCACAGUUCAUAAGGAUAGCCGGAACCGGUUUAUCAACCAAUGGCAAGUCCAUCAAAAGAUCUCGAAGCCAUCUCGCUUCAACACCAGAUGUGUCUAAUGCCGUUAAUUCUGUUCCAUUGUCGAUCUCGUUAAGAUCGUUUGCUUGCAAGACUUCCAGGAAACAGCGCCACCUCCAAGAGUAAACAUAUACCCAGUUGUGGCCUUCAUCUCAUCAGCAUCAGAGAUCCAAUUCGCAUCACUAUACCCUUCAAGUACCGACGGGUAUCCGGUAUAGUGAAGUCCAUAGUUCAUAGUACCUUUUAGAUAGCGCAUAACUCUCUCAACAGCAUGCCAAUGUACAUCACCCGGUUUGGAAACAAACCGGCUCAGUUUGCUCACAGCAAACGCGAUGUCAGGCCUCGUUGCGCUCGCUAGGUACAUCAGUGAACCAAUGAUUUGAGAGUAUCUCAAUUGAUCUUUAGCCAUGCCUUUGGACUUUCGAAUCAAUACGCUAGGAUCAUAUGGUGUUUGAGAUGGUGUGCAGUCCGAAUAUCCAAAACGACUCAACACCUUCUCAACGUAAUGGGAUUGCAGAAGUGUGAUCCCACCCUCAUUAUCUCUCAGUAGCUUGAUGUUCAAGAUAACAUCAGCCACACCAAGGUCUUUCAUCUCAAAGUUCUGAGAUAGAAACGAUUUGACCUCCUCAAUGACUUUGAGGUUUGUUCCGAAUAUCAGUAUGUCAUCAACAUACAAGCACAGUAUAACUCCUUCGCCCCCACCAUGGCGAUAGUAUACACAUUUGUCAUCCUCAUUAACAACGAAACCAACAGAUGUCAGAGUUGUAUUAAACUUAUCAUGCCAUUGCUUAGGUGCUUGUUUCAGGCCAUAUAAAGAUUUUAUCAACCUACACACCUUUCUUUCCUGACCAUCUAUCACAAAGCCAUCAGGCUGUUGCAUGUAGAUUUCCUCCUUUAGCUCUCCAUUUAGAAAAGCCGUCUUAACAUCCAUCUGAUGGACGAGAAGACCAUGUGAGGCCGCCAACGAGAGUAAUACUCGAAUGGUGGUCAGUCUAGCCACAGGUGAAUAAGUAUCAAAGAAAUCUUCCUCUUCUUGCUGGUCAUAGCCCUUGGCCACAAGCCUAGCCUUGUACUUUUCAAUCGUACCAUCGGGCCUAAGCUUCUUUUUGAACACCCACUUACAUCCCAGUGGUUUGCAACCAUAGGGACGGUCAGUGAUCUCCCAUGUCCCGUUAGCCAUGAUGGAAUCCAUCUCGCUACGGACCGCAUCCUUCCAGUAGUCAGCUUCUGGAGAGGCAUACGCUUGUGAAAUAGAAGUGGGAGUAUCAUCCACGAGGUACACGAAGAAAUCAUCACCAAAGGUCUUUGCAGUCCUUUGUCUCUUGCCCCUACCAAGGGUUUCCUCGUCAUCCUCCUCGGGAUUUUCAUCAUGUGUUUGUUCAUAAUAUUCCAUAGGGAUGGCAGGUUCAGGAGUCUCCUCAGAUUCCUGUCUAGAAGUGCUUUGCAUAUCUCUCAUAGGAAAAAUAUCCUCAAAGAAUGUAGCAUCCUUAGACUCCAUAAUUGUACCGAUCUUCUGGUCAGGUACCUCAGAUUUCACUACUAGAAAUCUAUAGCCAACGCUGUUCUUAGCGUAGCCCAAAUUAAUGCAGUCCACGGUCUUAUGUCCAAGCUUACGCUUUUUGGGGAUCGGCACGUUGACUUUCGCCAAACAGCCCCAAGUGCGCAAGUACGAGAGUGUCGUCCUUCUCUUUGCCCAUUUCUCAUAGGGAGUGAUCUCACUAUCCUUUGUCGGAACUUUAUUCAGGACAUGACAUGCCGUCAAUAUAGCCUCCCCCCACCAUGCCUUGGAUAAACCCGAUGUAUCUAACAUGGCGUUAACCAAAUCAGUUAGAGUAUGGUUUUUCCGCUCGGCAACCCCGUUUGACUGGGGUGAAUAGGGAGGUGUCCUCUCAUGAAUAAUGCCGUGUUCCGCACAGAAGGAAUCAAACUCACUCGAGAAGUACUCUCCACCACGAUCUGACCGGACUCGUUUAAUUUUCUUUUCAAGUUGAUUUUCAACUUCUGCCUUAUAGAUUUUAAAGUAGUGUAGAGCCUCAUCUUUAGUAUUUAACAGAUACACAUAGCAAUAUCUAGUGGAAUCAUCUAUCAAUGUCAUGAAGUAUCUCUUUCCACCUUUAGUCAACACACCAUUCAUCUCACAAAGAUCAGAAUGUAUGAGUUCUAAUGGUGCCAGGUGUCUCUCCUCCGCGGCCUUAUGAGGCUUGCGAGGUUGCUUAGCUUGCACACAUGAAAGGCACUUAGAACCUUUGGCUAAAGUGAAACUCGGGAUUAAAUCCAACUUGGCUAGUCGCGUCAUAACACCAAAACUAAUGUGACAAAGACGUGAAUGCCAAACUUCAGAUUCAUUAACAUUCGAAUGAAUAUGGUUCACGACUUUAUUACAAAAAUCUGCGAGGGAAAGGCGGAACAUCCCUCCGCUCUCAUAACCUUUUCCAACAAAGAGUCCAUAUUUUGUAACAACUAAUUUAUUAGACUCGAAAACCAACUUAUACCCUUCUCUACAUAGAAGGGAGCCACUAACGAGGUUCUUCUUGAUGGCGGGGACAUGCUGCACGUUCUUCAGCCGCACGAUCCUUCCCGAAGUAAACUUCAGAUCGACCGUGCCAACACCAUGAACAGAAGCACUCGCGCCAUUCCCCAUCAAUACGGACCCGUGACCUGUGACCUGGUAAGAAGUGAACAAUGAAAUGUCAGCACACACAUGAACACCUGCACCUGUGUCCACCCACCAAUCGUUGGGUUGAAACACUGAAAAAACAGUAAAUAAAUUACCGUACCCAGAUGCACCAUUCUCAUUGUUGCCCACAAUCAUGUUGACAGACUUGGAGUCCUGUCCUGACUUCUUGUACUUGUUUGGGCACUUGUUGGCCCAAUGUUCAACCGAACCACAAGUAAAGCAGCCCUCGUCCUUCUUGUUCUUCUUGAAGGUCUUCUUACCCUUCUUCUUAAAGUCGGUAUUGUGUUGUACACCGUUCUUUCCCUUGGGCUUGUGGGAGUUGAAGUUCUUCUGGUUCACCAUGUUGGCAACAGAAGUCCCUUCGGCCCCUUUUCCGUGCGAGUCUUUUGCCCUCGAAUUCUGCUCAACACUCAGAUGGCCAAUGACAUCCUCCACAGAGAAUUCACGCCUCUGAUGUUUCAGAGUGGUGGCAAAGUUCCUCCAGGAAUUAGGGAGCUUAGCGAUUAUGCAGCCCGCGACAAACUUGCCCGGUAACUCGCACUUGAGAAGCUCAAGUUCCUUAACAAUGCAUAUUAUCUCAUGAGCCUGCUCCAAUACAGGACGGUUUUCAACCAUCUUGUAAUCGUGGAACUGCUCUAUAAUAUACAUCUCGCUCCCUGCAUCGGCGGCCCCGAAUUUAGAUUCGAGCGCCUCCCACAAGUCCUUGGCGACAUGCACAUGUAAAUAUGCAUCGACCAGUUUAUCUCCGAUCACGCUAAGAACUGCUCCNNNNNNNNNNNNNNNNNNNNNNNNNNNNNNNNNNNNNNNNNNNNNNNNNNNNNNNNNNNNNNNNNNNNNNNNNNNNNNNNNNNNNNNNNNNNNNNNNNNNCCGGAUACCCGUCGGUACUUGAAGGGUAUAGUGAUGCGAAUUGGAUCUCUGAUGCUGAUGAGAUGAAGGCCACAACUGGGUAUAUGUUUACUCUUGGAGGUGGCGCUGUUUCCUGGAAGUCUUGCAAGCAAACGAUCUUAACGAGAUCGACAAUGGAAGCAGAAUUAACGGCAUUAGACACAUCUGGUGUUGAAGCGAGAUGGCUUCGAGAUCUUUUGAUGGACUUGCCAUUGGUUGAUAAACCGGUUCCGGCUAUCCUUAUGAACUGUGACAAUCAGACUGUCAUCACCAAGGUGAAGAGUUCAAAGGACAACAUGAAGUCCACCAAACACAUAAGAAUGAGAUUAAAAGCUGUCAAAAAAUUAAGAAACUCCGGAGUGAUAGCGCUGGACUAUGUCCAUACGACUAAGAAUCUGGCAGAUCCCUUUACAAAAGGGCUAUCACGUGUUGUGAUAGAUAAUGCAUCGAGGGAGAUGGGUAUGAGACCCACAUGAGUUGCCAUGGUGGUAACCCAACCUAUAUGAUCGGAGAUCCCGUGAACUAGGACUUGGGAAAACAAGCCAGUGGUGAACUGAGGAGAGUAACUAUACUAACCCACUCCGUUGGAGAUGCAAUACUCUCGAUACUGUAUGGUAGGAUGACUACGGUCUCAAUGUGUUCCAAAGCUUAUAAAAGCAAGAUGCUAUCCUACAGAGCGAUCUUUGGAGGAACACACCUAUAUGAGCCCGACUGCUGGUCACAGUCUAUGAGAUUGGGGUGAUCUCUAGUAAGCUCAUGAAUAGGCCAGGAGUGUGACUUAUAUGCUCCACCCGAGGGGUCAGCCUUCGGCAGCCUAGUACUAGUAAGACAUGUAGUGAAACUUCUUUACGCCAAACUGACAAUUCAAGGCAUAGUCCAUUGUUCAGUUGUGAAGGAGUGUAGCCACUUGUUCUAGGUGAAGUUCAACCUUAACAGGUCUUUACUGAAACACUGGUAUAUCGAAACAGCAAUUGGAACAGAGGACACAAUGGGCCCUCGAGAUCUGGUGGGGGAUUGUUGGAAUCUGAGAUGGGCUCUAGGCCCAUAUUGCAAUUUCUGAAAAAUCUCUAAGGGCCCAUGUGGGUUAUAUGGCACUAGGUGUGGUGGGAAGUUUAGUCCCACCCCGGAAGUGGAAGGAGAGUUGGAGUGGUUUAUAAGGGUUUCUCUUCUACAUGCUAUUGGAGCUUGAGAAGAGAAGAGGCCCUCGCGCACUCCUCCUCCGCCGCCCGCCUCGCCACGCCACGCCUCGCCUCGUCACGACGCGCCGCGGGUUGCGGGAUUGAGCCGAGCCGAGCUCACACCUACGCGCUUAUUUUUGCCAGUCACUAACGGAGAGUUUUCUGACAGCUGGGCCACGAUCUGAGACGUCGGAUCGUGGGCUGUCACGGACUCGGACGUGGGUCGAGCCCACGUCUCUCCACGCGGCUGCGCCUAUAAGUAUGCGGUGUCUCCUAACCCUAGCCGCCACGAACAGAUCACAUCUGCUCACGCGCACGCCCACCGUCGUCCCUUUGCUGCUGCUGCCGCCGGUGACUCCAUCUCGUCCGCCACGUACACGGUCGACGGGAGAGCAGGUCUCCGAAACCACGCCCUUCUGGUUCCUGUACGGGGUGAGGGGCGAAUAGGUUUUUGGGCAGCGAUUACGCGACUGCUCGCUUCCGAUCGUCUACUUCCUCUACGUCCGCGUCGCCUUCGUCAUCACCAUGUCCACCGACGCCGACCGUGCCGCCGCCGAGAAAGCUGAAGCCGACAAGAAGGUCGCCGACGACGCCGCUGCUGCCACCAAAGCCGCGGCCUCUGCGUGGCCUACUGGAGGGUAUAACUCGUUUAUCCCGCUCCUGAUUAUUUUCAUAUUAGCAGUACUAGCAGUAUGUGUAGAUUUGUCUACUGUUUGCUUAGUACGUGCAUGUCUAGAUCAGAGUCAGUACGUCAUCAACUUAGUCAAUGCCAUGCUAGUGAUUUACUCAUGGAUUAAUUUAAUCGAGAAAUUGCCUAUUUACUCAACAAUCCAAAAACCUAUUAUGUGUAGGAAUUUCUCGGCAAGUGGCUUUGCCGCUGCACUGAAACCGGAUAAGUUUACCGGUACAUACUUCAAGCGUUGGCAGACUAAGACCACGUUAUGGCUCACGGCUAUGAACGUGUUCUGGGUCACCGGUGUCUCCACGGGAACGAUUGCUCCUGAACAGGAGAAGGCGUUCAAGGAGGCUACCGUUGUGUUUCUCGGAGCAGUUCUUAGCGUGAUCGGAGAUAAACUGGUCGACGCAUAUUUACAUGUGCAUGUCGCCAAGGACUUGUGGGUGGCGCUCGAAUCUAAAUUCGGGGCCGCUGAUGCAGGGAGCGAGAUGUAUAUUAUAGAGCAGUUCCACGAUUACAAGAUGGUUGAAAACCGUCCUGUAUUGGAGCAGGCUCAUGAGAUAAUAUGCAUUGUUAAGGAACUUGAGCUUCUCAAGUGCGAGUUACCGGGCAAGUUUGUCGCGGGCUGCAUAAUCGCUAAGCUCCCUAAUUCCUGGAGGAACUUUGCCACCACUCUGAAACAUCAGAGGCGUGAAUUCUCUGUGGAGGAUGUCAUUGGCCAUCUGAGUGUUGAGCAGAAUUCGAGGGCAAAAGACUCGCACGGAAAAGGGGCCGAAGGGACUUCUGUUGCCAACAUGGUGAACCAGAAGAACUUCAACUCCCACAAGCCCAAGGGAAAGAACGGUGUCCAACACAAUACCGACUUUAAGAAGAAGGGUAAGAAGACCUUCAAGAAGAACAAGAAGGACGAGGGCUGCUUUACUUGUGGUUCGGUUGAACAUUGGGCCAACAAGUGCCCAAACAAGUACAAGAAGUCAGGACAGGACUCCAAGUCUGUCAACAUGAUUGUGGGCAACAAUGAGAAUGGUGCAUCUGGGUACGGUAAUUUAUUUACUGUUUUUUCAGUGUUUCAACCCAACGAUUGGUGGGUGGACAUAGGUGCAGGUGUUCAUGUGUGUGCUGACAUUUCAUUGUUCACUUCUUACCAGGUCACAGGUCACGGGUCCGUAUUGAUGGGGAAUGGCGCGAGUGCUUCUGUUCAUGGUGUUGGCACGGUCGAUCUGAAGUUUACUUCGGGAAGGAUCGUGCAGCUGAAGAACGUGCAGCAUGUCCCCGCCAUCAAGAAGAACCUCGUUAGUGGCUCCCUUCUAUGUAGAGAAGGGUUUAAGUUGGUUUUCGAGUCUAAUAAAUUAGUUGUUACAAAAUAUGGACUCUUUGUUGGAAAAGGUUAUGAGAGCGGAGGGAUGUUCCGCCUUUCCCUCGCAGAUUUUUGUAAUAAAGUCGUGAACCAUAUUCAUUCGAAUGUUAAUGAAUCUGAAGUUUGGCAUUCACGUCUUUGUCAAAUUAGUUUUGGUGUUAUGACGCGGCUAGCCAAGUUGGAUUUAAUCCCGAGUUUCACUUUAGCCAAACGUUCUAAGUGCCUUUCAUGUGUGCAAGCUAAGCAACCUCGCAAGCCUCAUAAGGCCGCGGAGGAGAGACACCUGGCACCAUUAGAACUCAUACAUUCUGAUCUUUGUGAGAUGAAUGGUGUGUUGACUAAAGGUGGAAAGAGAUACUUCAUGACAUUGAUAGAUGAUUCCACUAGAUAUUGCUAUGUGUAUCUGUUCAAUACUAAAGAUGAGGCUCUACACUACUUUAAAAUCUAUAAGGCAGAAGUUGAAAAUCAACUUGAAAAGAAAAUUAAACGAGUCCGGUCAGAUCGUGGUGGAGAGUACUUCUCGAGUGAGUUUGAUUCCUUCUGUGCGGAACACGGCAUUAUUCAUGAGAGGACGCCUCCCUAUUCACCCCAGUCAAACGGGGUUGCCGAGCGGAAAAACCGUACUCUAACUGAUUUGGUUAACGCCAUGUUAGAUACAUCGGGUUUAUCCAAGGCAUGGUGGGGGGAGGCUAUAUUGACGGCAUGUCAUGUCCUGAAUAAAGUUCCGACAAAGGAUAGUGAGAUCACUCCCUAUGAGAAAUGGGCAAAGAGAAGGACGACACUCUCGUACUUGCGCACUUGGGGCUGUUUGGCGAAAGUCAACGUGCCGAUCCCCAAAAAGCGUAAGCUUGGACAUAAGACCGUGGACUGCAUUAAUUUGGGCUACGCUAAGAACAGCGUUGGCUAUAGAUUUCUAGUAGUGAAAUCUGAGGUACUUGACCAGAAGAUCGGUACAAUUAUGGAGUCUAAGGAUGCUACAUUCUUUGAGGAUAUUUUUCCGAGAGAUAUGCAAAGCACUUCUAGACAGGAAUCUGAGGAGACUCCUGAACCUGCCAUCCCUAUGGAAUAUUAUGAACAAACACAUGAUGAAAAUCCCGAGGAGGAUGACGAGGAAACCCUUGGUAGGGGCAAGAGACAAAGGACUGCAAAGACCUUUGGUGAUGAUUUCUUCGUGUACCUCGUGGAUGAUACUCCCACUUCUAUUUCAGAAGCGUAUGCCUCUCCAGAAGCUGACUACUGGAAGGAUGCGGUCCGUAGCGAGAUGGACUCCAUCAUGGCUAACGGGACAUGGGAGAUCACUGACCGUCCCUAUGGUUGCAAACCACUGGGAUGUAAGUGGGUGUUCAAAAAGAAGCUUAGGCCCGAUGGUACGAUUGAAAAGUACAAGGCUAGGCUUGUGGCCAAGGGCUAUGACCAGCAAGAAGAGGAAGAUUUCUUUGAUACUUAUUCACCUGUGGCUAGACUGACCACCAUUCGAGUAUUACUCUCGUUGGCGGCCUCAGAUGGUCUUCUCGUCCAUCAGAUGGAUGUUAAGACGGCUUUUCUAAAUGGAGAGCUAAAGGAGGAAAUCUACAUGCAACAGCCUGAUGGCUUUGUGAUAGAUGGUCAGGAAAGAAAGGUGUGUAGGUUGAUAAAAUCUUUAUAUGGCCUGAAACAAGCACCUAAGCAAUGGCAUGAUAAGUUUAAUACAACUCUGACAUCUGUUGGUUUCGUUGUUAAUGAGGCUGACAAAUGUGUAUACUAUCGCCAUGGUGGGGGCGAAGGAGUUAUACUGUGCUUGUAUGUUGAUGACAUACUGAUAUUCGGAACAAACCUCAAAGUCAUUGAGGAGGUCAAAUCGUUUCUAUCUCAGAACUUUGAGAUGAAAGACCUUGGUGUGGCUGAUGUUAUCUUGAACAUCAAGCUACUGAGAGAUAAUGAGGGUGGGAUCACACUUCUGCAAUCCCAUUACGUUGAGAAGGUGUUGAGUCGUUUUGGAUAUUCGGACUACACACCAUCUCAAACACCAUAUGAUCCUAGCGUAUUGAUUCGAAAGUCCAAAGGCAUCGCUAAAGAUCAAUUGAGAUACUCUCAAAUCAUUGGUUCACUGAUGUACCUAGCGAGCGCAACGAGGCCUGACAUCGCGUUUGCUGUGAGCAAACUGAGCCGGUUUGUUUCCAAACCGGGUGAUGUACAUUGGCAUGCUGUUGAGAGAGUUAUGCGCUAUCUGAAAGGUACUAUGAACUAUGGACUUCACUAUACCGGAUACCCGUCGGUACUUGAAGGGUAUAGUGAUGCGAAUUGGAUCUCUGAUGCUGAUGAGAUGAAGGCCACAACUGGGUAUAUGUUUACUCUUGGAGGUGGCGCUGUUUCCUGGAAGUCUUGCAAGCAAACGAUCUUAACGAGAUCGACAAUGGAAGCAGAAUUAACGGCAUUAGACACAUCUGGUGUUGAAGCGAGAUGGCUUCGAGAUCUUUUGAUGGACUUGCCAUUGGUUGAUAAACCGGUUCCGGCUAUCCUUAUGAACUGUGACAAUCAGAUUGUCAUCACCAAGGUGAAGAGUUCAAAGGACAACAUGAAGUCCACCAAACACAUAAGAAUGAGAUUAAAAGCUGUCAGAAAAUUAAGAAACUCCGGAGUGAUAGCGCUGGACUAUGUCCAUACGGCUAAGAAUCUGGCAGAUCCCUUUACAAAAGGGCUAUCACGUGUUGUGAUAGAUAAUGCAUCGAGGGAGAUGGGUAUGAGACCCACAUGAGUUGCCAUGGUGGUAACCCAACCUAUAUGAUCGGAGAUCCCGUGAACUAGGACCUGGGAAAACAAGCCAGUGGUGAACUGAGGAGAGUAACUAUACUAACCCACUCCGUUGGAGAUGCAAUACUCUCGAUACUGUAUGGUAGGAUGACUACGGUCUCAAUGUGUUCCAAAGCUUAUAAAAGCAAGAUGCUAUCCUACAGAGUGAUCUUUGGAGGAACACACCUAUAUGAGCCCGACUGCUGGUCACAGUCUAUGAGAUUGGGGUGAUCUCUAGUAAGCUCAUGAAUAGGCCAGGAGUGUGACUUAUAUGCUCCACCCGAGGGGUCAGCCUUCGGCAGCCUAGUACUAGUAAGACAUGUAGUGAAACUUCUUUACGCCAAACUGACAAUUCAAGGCAUAGUCCAUUGUUCAGUUGUGAAGGAGUGUAGCCACUUGUUCUAGGUGAAGUUCAACCUUAACAGGUCUUUACUGAAACACUGGUAUAUUGAAACAGCAAUUGGAACAGAGGACACAAUGGGCCCUCGAGAUCUGGUGGGGGAUUGCUGAAAUCUGAGAUGGGCUCUAGGCCCAUAUUGCAAUUUCUGAAAAAUCUCUAAGGGCCCAUGUGGGUUAUAUGGCACUAGGUGUGGUGGGAAGUUUAGUCCCACCCCGGAAGUGGAAGGAGAGUUGGAGUGGUUUAUAAGGGUUUCUCUUCUACUUGAUAUUGGAGCUUGAGAAGAGAAGAGGCCCUCGCGCACUCCUCCUCCGCCGCCCGCCUCGCCACGCCACGCCUCGCCUCGUCACGACGCGUCGCGGGUUGCGGGAUUGAGCCGAGCCGAGCUCACACCUACGCGGUUAUUUUUGCCAGUCACUAACGGAGAGUUUUCUGACAGCUGGGCCACGAUCUGAGACGUCGGAUCGUGGGCUGUCACGGACUCGGACGUGGGUCGAGCCCACGUCUCUCCACGCGGCUGCGCCUAUAAGUAUGCGGUGUCUCCUAACCCUAGCCGCCACGAACAGAUCACAUCUGCUCACGUGCACGCCCACCGUCGUCCCUUUGCUGCUGCUGCCGCCGGUGACUCCAUCCCGUCCGCCACGUACACGGUCGACGGGAGAGCAGGUCUCCGAAACCACGCCCUUCUGGUUCCUGCACGGGGUGAGGGGCGAAUAGGUUUUUGGGCAGCGAUUACGCGACUGCUCGCUUCCGAUCGUCUACUUCCUCUACGUCCGCGUCGCCUUCGUCAUCACCAUGUCCACCGACGCCGACCGUGCCGCCGCCGAGAAAGCUGAAGCCGACAAGAAGGUCGCCGAGGAUGCCGCUGCUGCCACCAAAGCCGCGGCCUCUGCGUGGCCUACUGGAGGGUAUAACUCGUUUAUCCCGCUCCCGAUUAUUUUCAUAUUAGCAGUACUAGCAGUAUGUGUAGAUUUGUCUACUGUUUGCUUAGUACGUGCAUGUCUAGAUCAGAGUCAGUACGUCAUCAACUUAGUCAAUGCCAUGCUAGUGAUUUACUCAUGGAUUAAUUUAAUCGAGAAAUUGCCUAUUUACUCAACAAUCCAAAAACCUAUUAUGUGUAGGAAUUUCUCGGCAAGUGGCUUUGCCGCUGCACUGAAACCGGAUAAGUUUACCGGUACAUACUUCAAGCGUUGGCAGACUAAGACCACGUUAUGGCUCACGGCUAUGAACGUGUUCUGGGUCACCGGUGUCUCCACGGGAACGAUUGCUCCUGAACAGGAGAAGGCGUUCAAGGAGGCUACCGUUGUGUUUCUCGGAGCAGUUCUUAGCGUGAUCGGAGAUAAACUGGUCGACGCAUAUUUACAUGUGCAUGUCGCCAAGGACUUGUGGGUGGCGCUCGAAUCUAAAUUCGGGGCCGCUGAUGCAGGGAGCGAGAUGUAUAUUAUAGAGCAGUUCCACGAUUACAAGAUGGUUGAAAACCGUCCUGUAUUGGAGCAGGCUCAUGAGAUAAUAUGCAUUGUUAAGGAACUUGAGCUUCUCAAGUGCGAGUUACCGGGCAAGUUUGUCGCGGGCUGCAUAAUCGCUAAGCUCCCUAAUUCCUGGAGGAACUUUGCCACCACUCUGAAACAUCAGAGGCGUGAAUUCUCUGUGGAGGAUGUCAUUGGCCAUCUGAGUGUUGAGCAGAAUUCGAGGGCAAAAGACUCGCACGGAAAAGGGGCCGAAGGGACUUCUGUUGCCAACAUGGUGAACCAGAAGAACUUCAACUCCCACAAGCCCAAGGGAAAGAACGGUGUCCAACACAAUACCGACUUUAAGAAGAAGGGUAGGAAGACCUUCAAGAAGAACAAGAAGGACGAGGGCUGCUUUACUUGUGUGUGCUGACAUUUCAUUGUUCACUUCUUACCAGGUCACAGGUCACGGGUCCGUAUUGAUGGGGAAUGGCGCGAGUGCUUCUGUUCAUGGUGUUGGCACGGUCGAUCUGAAGUUUACUUCGGGAAGGAUCGUGCAGCUGAAGAACGUGCAGCAUGUCCCCGCCAUCAAGAAGAACCUCGUUAGUGGCUCCCUUCUAUGUAGAGAAGGGUUUAAGUUGGUUUUCGAGUCUAAUAAAUUAGUUGUUACAAAAUAUGGACUCUUUGUUGGAAAAGGUUAUGAGAGCGGAGGGAUGUUCCGCCUUUCCCUCGCAGAUUUUUGUAAUAAAGUCGUGAACCAUAUUCAUUCGAAUGUUAAUGAAUCUGAAGUUUGGCAUUCACGUCUUUGUCACAUUAGUUUUGGUGUUAUGACGCGGCUAGCCAAGUUGGAUUUAAUCCCGAGUUUCACUUUAGCCAAAGGUUCUCAGUGCCUUUCAUGUGUGCAAGCUAAGCAACCUCGCAAGCCUCAUAAGGCCGCGGAGGAGAGACACCUGGCACCAUUAGAACUCAUACAUUCUGAUCUUUGCGAGAUGAAUGGUGUGUUGACUAAAGGUGGAAAGAGAUACUUCAUGACAUUGAUAGAUGAUUCCACUAGAUAUUGCUAUGUGUAUCUGUUAAAUACUAAAGAUGAGGCUCUACACUACUUUAAAAUCUAUAAGGCAGAAGUUGAAAAUCAACUUGAAAAGAAAAUUAAACGAGUCCGGUCAGAUCGUGGUGGAGAGUACUUCUCGAGUGAGUUUGAUUCCUUCUGUGCGGAACACGACAUUAUUCAUGAGAGGACGCCUCCCUAUUCACCCCAGUCAAACGGGGUUGCCGAGCGGAAAAACCGUACUCUAACUGAUUUGGUUAACGCCAUGUUAGAUACAUCGGGUUUAUCCAAGGCAUGGUGGGGGGAGGCUAUAUUGACGGCAUGUCAUGUCCUGAAUAAAGUUCCGACAAAGGAUAGUGAGAUCACUCCCUAUGAGAAAUGGGCAAAGAGAAGGACGACACUCUCGUACUUGCGCACUUGGGGCUGUUUGGCGAAAGUCAACGUGCCGAUCCCCAAAAAGCGUAAGCUUGGACAUAAGACCGUGGACUGCAUUAAUUUGGGCUACGCUAAGAACAGCGUUGGCUAUAGAUUUCUAGUAGUGAAAUCUGAGGUACUUGACCAGAAGAUCGGUACAAUUAUGGAGUCUAAGGAUGCUACAUUCUUUGAGGAUAUUUUUCCGAGAGAUAUGCAAAGCACUUCUAGACAGGAAUCUGAGGAGACUCCUGAACCUGCCAUCCCUAUGGAAUAUUAUGAACAAACACAUGAUGAAAAUCCCGAGGAGGAUGACGAGGAAACCCUUGGUAGGGGCAAGAGACAAAGGACUGCAAAGACCUUUGGUGAUGAUUUCUUCGUGUACCUCGUGGAUGAUACUCCCACUUCUAUUUCAGAAGCGUAUGCCUCUCCAGAAGCUGACUACUGGAAGGAUGCGGUCCGUAGCGAGAUGGACUCCAUCAUGGCUAACGGGACAUGGGAGAUCACUGACCGUCCCUAUGGUUGCAAACCACUGGGAUGUAAGUGGGUGUUCAAAAAGAAGCUUAGGCCCGAUGGUACGAUUGAAAAGUACAAGGCUAGGCUUGUGGCCAAGGGCUAUGACCAGCAAGAAGAGGAAGAUUUCUUUGAUACUUAUUCACCUGUGGCUAGACUGACCACCAUUCGAGUAUUACUCUCAUUGGCGGCCUCACAUGGUCUUCUCGUCCAUCAGAUGGAUGUUAAGACGGCUUUUCUAAAUGGAGAGCUAAAGGAGGAAAUCUACAUGCAACAGCCUGAUGGCUUUGUGAUAGAUGGUCAGGAAAGAAAGGUGUGUAGGUUGAUAAAAUCUUUAUAUGGCCUGAAACAAGCACCUAAGCAAUGGCAUGAUAAGUUUAAUACAACUCUGACAUCUGUUGGUUUCGUUGUUAAUGAGGCUGACAAAUGUGUAUACUAUCGCCAUGGUGGGGGCGAAGGAGUUAUACUGUGCUUGUAUGUUGAUGACAUACUGAUAUUCGGAACAAACCUCAAAGUCAUUGAGGAGGUCAAAUCGUUUCUAUCUCAGAACUUUGAGAUGAAAGACCUUGGUGUGGCUGGUGUUAUCUUGAACAUCAAGCUACUGAGAGAUAAUGAGGGUGGGAUCACACUUCUGCAAUCCCAUUACGUUGAGAAGGUGUUGAGUCGUUUUGGAUAUUCGGACUGCACACCAUCUCAAACACCAUAUGAUCCUAGCGUAUUGAUUCGAAAGUCCAAAGGCAUUGCUAAAGAUCAAUUGAGAUACUCUCAAAUCAUUGGUUCACUGAUGUACCUAGCGAGCGCAACGAGGCCUGACAUCGCGUUUGCUGUGAGCAAACUGAGCCGGUUUGUUUCCAAACCGGGUGAUGUACAUUGGCAUGCUGUUGAGAGAGUUAUGCGCUAUCUGAAAGGUACUAUGAACUAUGGACUUCACUAUACCGGAUACCCGUCGGUACUUGAAGGGUAUAGUGAUGCGAAUUGGAUGUCUGAUGCUGAUGAGAUGAAGGCCACAACUGGGUAUAUGUUUACUCUUGGAGGUGGCGCUGUUUCCUGGAAGUCUUGCAAGCAAACGAUCUUAACGAGAUCGACAAUGGAAGCAGAAUUAACGGCAUUAGACACAUCUGGUGUUGAAGCAAGAUGGCUUCGAGAUCUUUUGAUGGACUUGCCAUUGGUUGAUAAACCGGUUCCGGCUAUCCUUAUGAACUGUGACAAUCAGACUGUCAUCACCAAGGUGAAGAGUUCAAAGGACAACAUGAAGUCCACCAAACACAUAAGAAUGAGAUUAAAAGCUGUCAGAAAAUUAAGAAACUCCGGAGUGAUAGCGCUGGACUAUGUCCAUACGGCUAAGAAUCUGGCAGAUCCCUUUACAAAAGGGCUAUCACGUGUUGUGAUAGAUAAUGCAUCGAGGGAGAUGGGUAUGAGACCCACAUGAGUUGCCAUGGUGGUAACCCAACCUAUAUGAUCGGAGAUCCCGUGAACUAGGACCUGGGAAAACAAGCCAGUGGUGAACUGAGGAGAGUAACUAUACUAACCCACUCCGUUGGAGAUGCAAUACUCUCGAUACUGUAUGGUAGGAUGACUACGGUCUCAAUGUGUUCCAAAGCUUAUAAAAGCAAGAUGCUAUCCUACAGAGCGAUCUUUGGAGGAACACACCUAUAUGAGCCCGACUGCUGGUCACAGUCUAUGAGAUUGGGUGAUCUCUAGUAAGCUCAUGAAUAGGCCAGGAGUGUGACUUAUAUGCUCCACCCGAGGGGUCAGCCUUCGGCAGCCUAGUACUAGUAAGACAUGUAGUGAAACUUCUUUACGCCAAACUGACAAUUCAAGGCAUAGUCCAUUGUUCAGUUGUGAAGGAGUGUAGCCACUUGUUCUAGGUGAAGUUCAACCUUAACAGGUCUUUACUGAAACACUGGUAUAUUGAAACAGCAAUUGGAACAGAGGACACAAUGGGCCCUCGAGAUCUGGUGGGGGAUUGCUGAAAUCUGAGAUGGGCUCUAGGCCCAUAUUGCAAUUUCUGAAAAAUCUCUAAGGGCCCAUGUGGGUUAUAUGGCACUAGGUGUGGUGGGAAGUUUAGUCCCACCCCGGAAGUGGAAGGAGAGUUGGAGUGGUUUAUAAGGGUUUCUCUUCUACAUGCUAUUGGAGCUUGAGAAGAGAAGAGGCCCUCGCGCACUCCUCCUCCGCCGCCCGCCUCGUCACGACGCGCCGCGGGUUGCGGGAUUGAGCCGAGCCGAGCUCACACCUACGCGCUUAUUUUUGCCAGUCACUAACGGAGAGUUUUCUGACAGCUGGGCCACGAUCUGAGACGUCGGAUCGUGGGCUGUCACGGACUCGGACGUGGGUCGAGCCCACGUCUCUCCACGCGGCUGCGCCUAUAAGUAUGCGGUGUCUCCUAACCCUAGCCGUCACGAACAGAUCACAUCUGCUCACGCGCACGCCCACCGUCGUUCCUUUGCUGCUGCUGCCGCCGGUGACUCCAUCCCGUCCGCCACGUACACGGUCGACGGGAGAGCAGGUCUCCGAAACCACGCCCUUCUGGUUCCUGUACGGGGUGAGGGGCGAAUAGGUUUUUGGGCAGCGAUUACGCGACUGCUCGCUUCCGAUCGUCUACUUCCUCUACGUCCGCGUCGCCUUCGUCAUCACCAUGUCCACCGACACCGACCGUGCCGCCGCCGAGAAAGCUGAAGCCGACAAGAAGGUCGCCGAGGACGCCGCUGCUGCCACCAAAGCCGCGGCCUCUGCGUGGCCUACUGGAGGGUAUAACUCGUUUAUCCCGCUCCUGAUUAUUUUCAUAUUAGCAGUACUAGCAGUAUGUGUAGAUUUGUCUACUGUUUGCUUAGUACGUGCAUGUUUAGAUCAGAGUCAGUACGUCAUCAACUUAGUCAAUGCCAUGCUAGUGAUUUACUCAUGGAUUAAUUUAAUCGAGAAAUUGCCUAUUUACUCAACAAUCCAAAAACCUAUUAUGUGUAGGAAUUUCUCGGCAAGUGGUUUUGCCGCUGCACUGAAACCGGAUAAGUUUACCGGUACAUACUUCAAGCGUUGGCAUGGCUAAAGAUCAAUUGAGAUACUCUCAAACACCAUAUUUGGAUAUUUGGAUAUUCGGACUGCACACCAUCUCAAACACCAUAUGAUCCUAGCGUAUUGAUUCGAAAGUCCAAAGGCAUGGCUAAAGAUCAAUUGAGAUACUCUCAAAUCAUUGGUUCACUGAUGUACCUAGCGAGCGCAACGAGGCCUGACAUCGCGUUUGCUGUGAGCAAACUGAGCCGGUUUGUUUCCAAACCGGGUGAUGUACAUUGGCAUGCUGUUGAGAGAGUUAUGCGCUAUCUGAAAGGUACUAUGAACUAUGGACUUCACUAUACCGGAUACCCGUCGGUACUUGAAGGGUAUAGUGAUGCGAAUUGGAUCUCUGAUGCUGAUGAGAUGAAGGCCACAACUGGGUAUAUGUUUACUCUUGGAGGUGGCGCUGUUUCCUGGAAGUCUUGCAAGAAAACGAUCUUAACGAGAUCGACAAUGGAAGCAGAAUUAACGGCAUUAGACACAUCUGGUGUUGAAGCGAGAUGGCUUCGAGAUCUUUUGAUGGACUUGCCAUUGGUUGAUAAACCGGUUCCGGCUAUCCUUAUGAACUGUGACAAUCAGACUGUCAUCACCAAGGUGAAGAGUUCAAAGGACAACAUGAAGUCCACCAAACACAUAAGAAUGAGAUUAAAAGCUGUCAGAAAAUUAAGAAACUCCGGAGUGAUAGCGCUGGACUAUGUCCAUACGGCUAAGAAUCUGGCAGAUCCCUUUACAAAAGGGCUAUCACGUGUUGUGAUAGAUAAUGCAUCGAGGGAGAUGGGUAUGAGACCCACAUGAGUUGCCAUGGUGGUAACCCAACCUAUAUGAUCGGAGAUCCCGUGAACUAGGACCUGGGAAAACAAGCCAGUGGUGAACUGAGGAGAGUAACUAUACUAACCCACUCCGUUGGAGAUGCAAUACUCUCGAUACUGUAUGGUAGGAUGACUACGGUCUCAAUGUGUUCCAAAGCUUAUAAAAGCAAGAUGCUAUCCUACAGAGUGAUCUUUGGAGGAACACACCUAUAUGAGCCCGACUGCUGGUCACAGUCUAUGAGAUUGGGGUGAUCUCUAGUAAGCUCAUGAAUAGGCCAGGAGUGUGACUUAUAUGCUCCACCCGAGGGGUCAGCCUUCGGCAGCCUAGUACUAGUAAGACAUGUAGUGAAACUUCUUUACGCCAAACUGACAAUUCAAGGCAUAGUCCAUUGUUCAGUUGUGAAGGAGUGUAGCCACUUGUUCUAGGUGAAGUUCAACCUUAACAGGUCUUUACUGAAACACUGGUAUAUUGAAACAGCAAUUGGAACAGAGGACACAAUGGGCCCUCGAGAUCUGGUGGGGGAUUGCUGAAAUCUGAGAUGGGCUCUAGGCCCAUAUUGCAAUUUCUGAAAAAUCUCUAAGGGCCCAUGUGGGUUAUAUGGCACUAGGUGUGGUGGGAAGUUUAGUCCCACCCCGGAAGUGGAAGGAGAGUUGGAGUGGUUUAUAAGGGUUUCUCUUCUACAUGCUAUUGGAGCUUGAGAAGAGAAGAGGCCCUCGCGCACUCCUCCUCCGCCGCCCGCCUCGCCACGCCACGCCUCGUCACGACGCGCCGCGGGUUGCGGGAUUGAGCCAAGCCGAGCUCACACCUACGCGCUUAUUUUUGCCAGUCACUAACGGAGAGUUUUCUGACAGCUGGGCCACGAUCUGAGACGUCGGAUCGUGGGCUGUCACGGACUCGGACGUGGGUCGAGCCCACGUCUCUCCACGCGGCUGCGCCUAUAAGUAUGCGGUGUCUCCUAACCCUAGCCGCCACGAACAGAUCACAUCUGCUCACGCGCACGCCCACCGUCGUUCCUUUGCUGCUGCUGCCGCCGGUGACUCCAUCCCGUCCGCCACGUACACGGUCGACGGGAGAGCAGGUCUCCGAAACCACGCCCUUCUGGUUCCUGUACGGGGUGAGGGGCGAAUAGGUUUUUGGGCAGCGAUUACGCGACUGCUCGCUUCCGAUCGUCUACUUCCUCUACGUCCGCGUCGCCUUCGUCAUCACCAUGUCCACCGACGCCGACCGUGCCGCCGCCGAGAAAGCUGAAGCCGACAAGAAGGUCGCCGAGGACGCCGCUGCUGCCACCAAAGCCGCGGCCUCUGCGUGGCCUACUGGAGGGUAUAACUCGUCUAUCCCGCUCCUGAUUAUUUUCAUAUUAGCAGUACUAGCAGUAUGUGUAGAUUUGUCUACUGUUUGCUUAGUAUGUGCAUGUUUAGAUCAGAGUCAGUACGUCAUCAACUUAGUCAAUGCCAUGCUAGUGAUUUACUCAUGGAUUAAUUUAAUCGAGAAAUUGCCUAUUUACUCAACAAUCCAAAAACCUAUUAUGUGUAGGAAUUUCUCGGCAAGUGGCUUUGCCGCUGCACUGAAACCGGAUAAGUUUACCGGUACAUACUUCAAGCGUUGGCAGACUAAGACCACGUUAUGGCUCACGGCUAUGAACGUGUUCUGGGUCACCGGUGUCUCCACGGGAACGAUUGCUCCUGAACAGGAGAAGGCGUUCAAGGAGGCUACCGUUGUGUUUCUCGGAGCAGUUCUUAGCGUGAUCGGAGAUAAACUGGUCGACGCAUAUUUACAUGUGCAUGUCGCCAAGGACUUGUGGGAGGCGCUAGAAUCUAAAUUCGGGGCCGCCGAUGCAGGGAGCGAGAUGUAUAUUGUAGAGCAGUUCCACGAUUACAAGAUGGUUGAAAACCGUCCUGUAUUGGAGCAGGCUCAUGAGAUAAUAUGCAUUGUUAAGGAACUUGAGCUUCUCAAGUGCGAGUUACCGGGCAAGUUUGUCGCGGGCUGCAUAAUCGCUAAGCUCCCUAAUUCCUGGAGGAACUUUGCCACCACUCUGAAACAUCAGAGGCGUGAAUUCUCUGUGGAGGAUGUCAUUGGCCAUCUGAGUGUUGAGCAGAAUUCGAGGGCAAAAGACUCGCACGGAAAAGGGGCCGAAGGGACUUCUGUUGCCAACAUGGUGAACCAGAAGAACUUCAACUCCCACAAGCCCAAGGGAAAGAACGGUGUCCAACACAAUACCGACUUUAAGAAGAAGGGUAAGAAGACCUUCAAGAAGAACAAGAAGGACGAGGGCUGCUUUACUUGUGGUUCGGUUGAACAUUGGGCCAACAAGUGCCCAAACAAGUAAAAGAAGUCAGGACAGGACUCCAAGUCUGUCAACAUGAUUGUGGGCAACAAUGAGAAUGGUGCAUCUGGGUACGGUAAUUUAUUUACUGUUUUUUCAGUGUUUCAACCCAACGAUUGGUGGGUGGACACAGGUGCAGGUGUUCAUGUGUGUGCUGACAUUUCAUUGUUCACUUCUUACCAGGUCACAGGUCACGGGUCCGUAUUGAUGGGGAAUGGCGCGAGUGCUUCUGUUCAUGGUGUUGGCACGGUCGAUCUGAAGUUUACUUCGGGAAGGAUCGUGCAGCUGAAGAACGUGCAGCAUGUCCCCGCCAUCAAGAAGAACCUCGUUAGUGGCUCCCUUCUAUGUAGAGAAGGGUUUAAGUUGGUUUUCGAGUCUAAUAAAUUAGUUGUUACAAAAUAUGGACUCUUUGUUGGAAAAGGUUAUGAGAGCGGAGGGAUGUUCCGCCUUUCCCUCGCAGAUUUUUGUAAUAAAGUCAAGAACCAUAUUCAUUCGAAUGUUAAUGAAUCUGAAGUUUGGCAUUCACGUCUUUGUCACAUUAGUUUUGGUGUUAUGACGCGGCUAGCCAAGUUGGAUUUAAUCCCGAGUUUCACUUUAGCCAAAGGUUCUAAGUGCCUUUCAUGUGUGCAAGCUAAGCAACCUCGCAAGCCUCAUAAGGCCGCGGAGGAGAGACACCUGGCACCAUUAGAACUCAUACAUUCUGAUCUUUGUGAGAUGAAUGGUGUGUUGACUAAAGGUGGAAAGACAUACUUCAUGACAUUGAUAGAUGAUUCCACUAGAUAUUGCUAUGUGUAUCUGUUAAAUACUAAAGAUGAGGCUCUACACUACUUUAAAAUCUAUAAGGCAGAAGUUGAAAAUCAACUUGAAAAGAAAAUUAAACGAGUCCGGUCAGAUCGUGGUGGAGAGUACUUCUCGAGUGAGUUUGAUUCCUUCUGUGCGGAACACGGCAUUAUUCAUGAGAGGACGCCUCCCUAUUCACCCCAGUCAAACGGGGUUGCCGAGCGGAAAAACCGUACUCUAACUGAUUUGGUUAACGCCAUGUUAGAUACAUCGGGUUUAUCCAAGGCAUGGUGGGGGGAGGCUAUAUUGACGGCAUGUCAUGUCCUGAAUAAAGUUCCGACAAAGGAUAGUGAGAUCACUCCCUAUGAGAAAUGGGCAAAGAGAAGGACGACACUCUCGUACUUGCGCACUUGGGGCUGUUUGGCGAAAGUCAACGUGCCGAUCCCCAAAAAGCGUAAGCUUGGACAUAAGACCGUGGACUGCAUUAAUUUGGGCUACGCUAAGAACAGCGUUGGCUAUAGAUUUCUAGUAGUGAAAUCUGAGGUACUUGACCAGAAGAUCGGUACAAUUAUGGAGUCUAAGGAUGCUACAUUCUUUGAGGAUAUUUUUCCGAGAGAUAUGCAAAGCACUUCUAGACAGGAAUCUGAGGAGACUCCUGAACCUGCCAUCCCUAUGGAAUAUUAUGAACAAACACAUGAUGAAAAUCCCGAGGAGGAUGACGAGGAAACCCUUGGUAGGGGCAAGAGACAAAGGACUGCAAAGACCUUUGGUGAUGAUUUCUUCGUGUACCUCGUGGAUGAUACUCCCACUUCUAUUUCAGAAGCGUAUGCCUCUCCAGAAGCUGACUACUGGAAGGAUGCGGUCCGUAGCGAGAUGGACUCCAUCAUGGCUAACGGGACAUGGGAGAUCACUGACCGUCCCUAUGGUUGCAAACCACUGGGAUGUAAGUGGGUGUUCAAAAAGAAGCUUAGGCCCGAUGGUACGAUUGAAAAGUACAAGGCUAGGCUUGUGGCCAAGGGCUAUGACCAGCAAGAAGAGGAAGAUUUCUUUGAUACUUAUUCACCUGUGGCUAGACUGACCACCAUUCGAGUAUUACUCUCGUUGGCGGCCUCAGAUGGUCUUCUCGUCCAUCAGAUGGAUGUUAAGACGGCUUUUCUAAAUGGAGAGCUAAAGGAGGAAAUCUACAUGCAACAGCCUGAUGGCUUUGUGAUAGAUGGUCAGGAAAGAAAGGUGUGUAGGUUGAUAAAAUCUUUAUAUGGCCUGAAACAAGCACCUAAGCAAUGGCAUGAUAAGUUUAAUACAACUCUGACAUCUGUUGGUUUCGUUGUUAAUGAGGCUGACAAAUGUGUAUACUAUCGCCAUGGUGGGGGCGAAGGAGUUAUACUGUGCUUGUAUGUUGAUGACAUACUGAUAUUCGGAACAAACCUCAAAGUCAUUGAGGAGGUCAAAUCGUUUCUAUCUCAGAACUUUGAGAUGAAAGACCUUGGUGUGGCUGAUGUUAUCUUGAACAUCAAGCUACUGAGAGAUAAUGAGGGUGGGAUCACACUUCUGCAAUCCCAUUACGUUGAGAAGGUGUUGAGUCGUUUUGGAUAUUCGGACUGCACACCAUCUCAAACACCAUAUGAUCCUAGCGUAUUGAUUCAAAAGUCCAAAGGCAUGGCUAAAGAUCAAUUGAGAUACUCUCAAAUCAUUGGUUCACUGAUGUACCUAGCAAGCGCAACGAGGCCUGACAUCGCGUUUGCUGUGAGCAAACUGAGCCGGUUUGUUUCCAAACCGGGUGAUGUACAUUGGCAUGCUGUUGAGAGAGUUAUGCGCUAUCUGAAAGGUACUAUGAACUAUGGACUUCACUAUACCGGAUACCCGUCGGUACUUGAAGGGUAUAGUGAUGCGAAUUGGAUCUCUGAUGCUGAUGAGAUGAAGGCCACAACUGGGUAUAUGUUUACUCUUGGAGGUGGCGCUGUUUCCUGGAAGUCUUGCAAGCAAACGAUCUUAACGAGAUCGACAAUGGAAGCAGAAUUAACGGCAUUAGACACAUCUGGUGUUGAAGCGAGAUGGCUUCGAGAUCUUUUGAUGGACUUGCCAUUGGUUGAUAAACCGGUUCCGGCUAUCCUUAUGAACUGUGACAAUCAGAAUGUCAUCACCAAGGUGAAGAGUUCAAAGGACAACAUGAAGUCCACCAAACACAUAAGAAUGAGAUUAAAAGCUGACAGAAAAUUAAGAAACUCCGGAGUGAUAGCGCUGGACUAUGUCCAUACGGCUAAGAAUCUGGCAGAUCCCUUUACAAAAGGGCUAUCACGUGUUGUGAUAGAUAAUGCAUCGAGGGAGAUGGGUAUGAGACCCACAUGAGUUGCCAUGGUGGUAACCCAACCUAUAUGAUCGGAGAUCCCGUGAACUAGGACCUGGGAAAACAAGCCAGUGGUGAACUGAGGAGAGUAACUAUACUAACCCACUCCGUUGGAGAUGCAAUACUCUCGAUACUGUAUGGUAGGAUGACUACGGUCUCAAUGUGUUCCAAAGCUUAUAAAAGCAAGAUGCUAUCCUACAGAGCGAUCUUUGGAGGAACACACCUAUAUGAGCCCGACUGCUGGUCACAGUCUAUGAGAUUGGGGUGAUCUCUAGUAAGCUCAUGAAUAGGCCAGGAGUGUGACUUAUAUGCUCCACCCGAGGGGUCAGCCUUCGGCAGCCUAGUACUAGUAAGACAUGUAGUGAAACUUCCUUACGCCAAACUGACAAUUCAAGGCAUAGUCCAUUGUUCAGUUGUGAAGGAGUGUAGCCACUUGUUCUAGGUGAAGUUCAACCUUAACAGGUCUUUACUGAAACACUGGUAUAUCGAAACAGCAAUUGGAACAGAGGACACAAUGGGCCCUCGAGAUCUGGUGGGGGAUUGCUGAAAUCUGAGAUGGGCUCUAGGCCCAUAUUGCAAUUUCUGAAAAAUCUCUAAGGGCCCAUGUGGGUUAUAUGGCACUAGGUGUGGUGGGAAGUUUAGUCCCACCCCGGAAGUGGAAGGAGAGUUGGAGUGGUUUAUAAGGGUUUCUCUUCUACAUGCUAUUGGAGCUUGAGAAGAGAAGAGGCCCUCGCGCACUCCUCCUCCGCCGCCCGCCUCGCCACGCCACGCCUCGCCUCGCCUCGUCACGACGCGGGUUGCGGGAUUGAGCCGAGCCGAGCUCACACCUACGCGCUUAUUUUUGCCAGUCACUAACGGAGAGUUUUCUGACAGCUGGGCCACGAUCUGAGACGUCGGAUCGUGGGCUGUCACGGACUCGGACGUGGGUCGAGCCCACGUCUCUCCACGCGGCUGCGCCUAUAAGUAUGCGGUGUCUCCUAACCCUAGCCGCCACGAACAGAUCACAUCUGCUCACGCGCACGCCCACCGUCGUCCCUUUGCUGCUGCUGCCGCCGGUGACUCCAUCCCGUCCGCCACGUACACGGUCGACGGGAGAGCAGGUCUCCGAAACCACGCCCUUCUGGUUCCUGUACGGGGUGAGGGGCGAAUAGGUUUUUGGGCAGCGAUUACGCGAGUGCUCGCUUCCGAUCGUCUACUUCCUCUACGUCCGCGUCGCCUUCGUCAUCACCAUGUCCACCGACGCCGACCGUGCCGCCGCCGAGAAAGCUGAAGCCGACAAGAAGGUCGCCGAGGACGCCGCUGCUGCCACCAAAGCUGCGGCCUCUGCGUGGCCUACUGGAGGGUAUAACUCGUUUAUCCCGCUCCUGAUUAUUUUCAUAUUAGCAGUACUAGCAGUAUGUGUAGAUUUGUCUACUGUUUGCUUAGUACGUGCAUGUCUAGAUCAGAGUCAGUACGUCAUCAACUUAGUCAAUGCCAUGCUAGUGAUUUACUCAUGGAUUAAUUUAAUCGAGAAAUUGCCUAUUUACUCAACAGCUGGCAUGCGUAGUGCAGAGCCUUUGGUUUCCAAUCUCAGCUAACAAGACUGUAUAAGUAGGGACAAUGCCGGCAUGGUUGGUUGCUUGCGAAUCUUUGGUUUGCAUGCGUGACAGUGUUUUAAUUCAAUGGCAUUCAAUUUCAUUCCUCGACUCAUCAUGCUGUCAUGCAUGAUCGAUUAUUGAUGCAUGCCAUGUUCGUUCAUUCAGUGUGUUUGUACGUGCAACGGGAGCUUAUUGAUUGAGCUGCCGCCAUGCCCAUCAUCGCCAACUGAUAGAUCGCUUUCGCAUCUAGUCUAGUAUCAUGCAGGAAUAUCAAAGUUAGGGUGACGACGACGUACAUCCCCUUCGACUAAUUAAUGGAUGGACGGACACGGCUUCCUCGUCCUCCAUGCACGCCACCAGUAUGGAGAAACCACAUUCUUAGUGGUAAUUUCACAUAAAUACAGAUAUGAAACGACGAAGUAGUUAUGCACUCUCGCUUCUAAACUAAUAUAAGAUCGUUCAGAUCACUACUUUAUAGUUAGGACGUGGCUAGGUCUCAGUCGAUCAAGACUUAAUCAAAUCUAAGUCAAGUGAUGUAAAAUGUAAGAAAGAAAAGACAAAAGCUAAAAAGAAAAUUUUGCACAGACCUCCAUGUAAGAUUCCAUGAAUAUAGCAUCGAUUGAGACUUGGUUAAGUCUUAGUCGACUGAGAAUUAGUAAUCCCGUUAAAGUUAUCUAAAAAAUCUUAUAUUAGUUUACAAAGGGAGUACUUAUUAGCACUUAUUUGUGAUAUGAAGUCAUCGCCCGCCCACUCGUUGGUGACAAAAUUUCCCUUAUUACAAUUUCAAAAAUAAUCAGUAUUAUUGUUUUUUUUCUUACACCCUUGACGAAAGUCAUGGCUGCUCGCUCUUAAAAAAGUUUAUCUUGACAAUAUAAGUAUAGUAUAUGAUUGUGGAAAGCAAUUCAUUGGACAUGUGGUUUUUUAAUAGUUUGGCAGGAUAUUAGGUGUAGUCUCAAGAAGUUCUAUCGAUCUUUAUACCAUAAUAAAGAUUCACACAAGACCCUAACUUCCCGCUACCAAAGGUUAGGUGGCACAUGCUAGAGGAAGUAUUUGAGGGGCGUACCUUUAGCGAGUCUGGCUUCAGACUUGCUGAAGGGGCGAGCGAGCUGGGCCGGCCCACGAACGCGAGAGGCCACAACAUCUUUUUCCAGGAUUUUUUUACGCUUUCUUUUUUUUACUUUUGUUUAUUUUCUAAAAUAUUAUAAAAACAUAUAUUACAAGAAACCACUCUUCGAGAAAAAUUUGAAAAAUGUUGAACAAGUGUUUAAAAAGGAUGAACAAGCAUUUCAAAAAAUAUUGAACAAGUAUUUGAAAAAAUGUUCAUCAUGUAUAUAAAAAUGUUGAACAAGCAUUUGAAAAAAAUGUUGAACAAGUAUUUGAAAAAAUGUUGAUCAUGUAUAAAAAAAUAUUGAACAAGUAUUUGAAAAAUGUUGAUCGUGUAUAUAAAAAUGUUGAACAAGUAUUUAAAAAUGGAGAACAACUAUUUGAAAAAAAAUGUUGAUCAUGUAUAUAAAAAUAUAGAAUGAAAAUAAAAAAGAAACAAAAAACCUAAAAAUGAAAACUGAGAAAGAAACAAAAUAAACCAAAGAAAAACAAAAUGAAAAAAACUAGAGAAGAAAUAUACGUGUAUGUAAACUAAUGAAGAAACAAAAGACAAAUAAUGAAGAAACGGACAAGAAAAAAGAAAACAAAAAAAAGUGAAAACCAGUACGUCUUGCUUCAAGUAGGCCGCGCCCUUUUUGUUAUCACGAACUGUUUGGUUGGCGGAGUGGCUAGUCACGUCCUAUGUUUGCCACAGAGCUCCCCUUUUUUCCUUCUAUUUUUCUUUAGACUCUGCAUGAAAAUUUGACGAAAUCAACUUUGCUGCCCGAAACUAUUGCUAAAUUCUAGAUAAAUUUAGAGGACAAAUUGAUAAAUGGUCGGUUUUGCCACCUCUCAGUUCACUUAAGUUCGAUGAAUAAUUUUUUUAGAAAGUACAAUUGGGUGAAAAUCCUUCUAUUUUUCUUUAGACUCUGCAUGAAAAUUUGACGAAAUCAAAUUUGCUGGCCGAAACUAUUGCUAAAUUCUAGAUAAAUUUAGAGGACUAAUUGGUAAAUGGUCGGUUUUGCCACCUCUCGGUUGAGUUAAGUUCGAUGAAUAAUGUAACCUUCACUUUUUUAAGAAAGUACAAUUGGGUGAAAAAGUGCAAAUUGCACUUUUUUGAAUUGACUGAGACUUGACCCAAAAAAAAAAUGUUGAUUGAGACAUAGAUGGGUGCAAUUUCGGUAUGGUGAAAAGUGUAACUUGCACAUUUUCACCAAGUUGCACUUUUCAAUAUUGAAUGAGACACCCUUUGAAUCUUUGCACUUAAGUACUAAUAGACAUCCUAGAUAAAUGGAGUUCUUCACGGAAUACACUGAGGCAAGCCGAUCUCAAAUCCAAGAGAUCAUUGUCAAGGGAGGCUAUGAAGUAGUUGUUGAUGCUUUAGAUACCUAAACUGAGUAGCGGAUACCGAUAAAGAAGAUAAAUGAUGUGUUUUAGUUUGUCUCAUAUGCCACUUGCAUUCUAUGUGAAAUCAAGAUUCUUCGUCUAGUCCAAAACAUAGAUGAGAUCAAACACAUCAUGCUUCCCCCUACCCGAAGGGAGUUCGAAGAUAUUUGUAUUGUUUAUGAGCUUGCAACCCCAUCAUCCAAAACCUUAUCCCAUCCAUGUCUACAUAUAACCAUGAACCAAUGGACACAGAUAUUUUAUGCAUGAUUCUUUGUUUUUUUUGUUUUAUGUGACGCUACCAGUUGCAUUAUGGUGGAGCAUGUCCUAUGGGCUAUUUGAUUGCAGCCAAAUUAAGUUUCUCGUAUUCCAUUGGUUUCAUUAAAAUGAAGUGUCAAACAAAACUUACCACAAAUAUAAAUUCAUUUCUCUAUAUUUUUUCAUACUAGUUACUUUCAUGUGAAGUAUGUUUCAUGGGGGAGGGGGGCAUGUGUAAAUGGUGUUGUACCAGUGGUUUAAUCAAUAAGCUGCCCCACAAUACAACUUUGUAUCUCUAUGAAUGCCUACAAUGUGUGGCAAAAUUGGUGUAUUUUUAACAAGGCUAGAUUAGUUUUGAAGUCUCAAUUGAUUUAGGAAAGUGUAACUUACGUUUUUGGAGAAAAAUGCAACUGGGCGAAAAUAUGUGGAAGUUACAUUGUAUCACUAUAUUUCAGCUACACUUUCGUAAAUCGUUUGGAUUCAAUUAUUUCUCAACCAAUUGUAGUAGUUUUUUCAUUUUUCUUGUAAAUCGAUUCAGUUAUUUUGAAUGUGUAACUGGUGUUGUACCAGUGGUUUAAUCAAUAAGCUUCCCCACAAAUACAACCUUGUAUCUCUAUGAAUGACUACAAUGUGUGGCAAAAUUAUUGUAUUUUUAAUAAGGCUAGAUUAGUUUUUGAAGUCUCAAUUGAUUUAGGAAAGUGUAACUUACGUGGUUGGAGAAAAAAAUGUAAAUGGGCGAAAAUCUAUGGAAGUUACAUUGUAUCACUAUAUUUCAGCUACACUUUCGUAAAUCGUUUGGAUUCAAUUAUUUCUCAACCAAUUGUAGUAGUUUUUUUCGUUUCGCUUGUAAAUCGGCUCUUUUUUGGCAUCCCAGUUCUUAACUUUUUCAUCUCGUCUAGUGGAAGUUGAGACUUGUUCCAGUAUCUUUAUCCCGGUCCUAAAUCCGAUAUAGAUUGAUUGUCUCUUGAUGAAGAAAUGCCUUGCUUAACGGAGCAAUUUUUGUUUUCUUGCUUAUUAUUUUCUUGAGCUGACAUUUUAAUGAGAUCCACAUAGCAUUUUUAGGGGUAAACAUGCUUUAUUAAUUGAAACUCAAGUUUACAGAAAUUACAGAAGUAUCAUGCGCCUUUGUAAGCCACACGUGGUGACCCUCCAGAUCAUUGGUUGCGCUGUCUAGAGAAGCAGCUCUCAUACACAUGCUCGCAUGGGCCGGCCCAAGAGCCUCACUCUAUCGCUCCCUGCUCGAUCGCCUGAUUAGUUCGUUCGAGUGAUAGGCAGAGAGGUUGACUUGUCUCAUAAAAAGGGUGGAGAGGUUGUCCAAUGCACCAGUUGCUUAUUGAUCGUUGACCGCAAAUCAAUUGACCGUUAACUUUUUAGAAAGUUCACAAAUUUGGAAAAUAAUUCGUGAAUUGAAAAAAGUUCACGCAUUUGAAAAAAAGUUCAUGUACUUGAAACAAAGUUCAUGACUUUAAAAGAAGUUUGCGAUUUUGAAAAAAAAGUUAAUGAAUUUGAAAAAACUUCAUGCUUUUUAAACAAAAUCAUGAAUUAGAGAAAAGUUCAUGAGUUUGGAAAAGAAAUUAAGACUCGGAAAAGUUCAUAAUUUGAAAAAUGUUGGCAGAAAAAAAAGUUCACAAACUUGAAAUAAAAGUUCAGCAAAAUUUGAAAAAAAACAUAAAUUUCAAAGAAGUUCACAAAAAUUAGAAUAUGUUCAAAUUUUGAAAAAGCUUUUCAAUUUUAAUAAAGUUCACGCAUUUUAAAAAUAAGAAUUAAAAAAUAAAGCCAAAAAAAGAAAAUAAAAACUAAAAAUGAAGCAAAAAAUAAAAAUUAAGCCUAACGCGUGCGGGCCCCCUGCAAGAUGAUAAUAAGGGGCGCGCACCACAAGCCGAAUUGUUCAGCUCGCAUGAAUUUCACUCGCGACAAGCCAGUAACAGGCGCAGGAUGCAGCAUCGUGGUUCGUGGAAGGACGGGUAGGCGACUCCACACCCAAAAAACAAACGAACAAAGGAAUGGCAGUCGACAAGCAUUCCUUCACUCGCGACAAUACCGACAGUAUACACGUCUCGCUGGCAUGCAUGCGCCUGCCAAGAGGAAACAAAUUUUGCAUUCAAACACAUCUCCGAUCGGCCAUGCAACUCUGACUCUCCCUAGCCCCUUAUCCCUACACAUUGGCUCCAUCCGGUUGCCAGCACAUCUUCUACUAACGAGUACUCCCUCCGUCCGGAAAGGACGGAAAUACUUGUCCUAGAAAUAGUUGUAUCUAGAUUUAUUUUAGUUAUAGAUAUAUUUAUUUUAUCUAUUUCUUGAACAAGUAUUUCUAGACGAAGGGAGUACUAAGGAACAUCAGGUGCAGGGCAUCUGGAGAACAUCAUGUCACAUUUGACAAAGCCAGAUUCAGGCGCAUUUUCUAGAGACUUUCAGCCAUUUCUGGCUAGAUAGAUUGGCUCCAAACACCCGAGAACGUAUCCUGUGCAACGCCCUGACUCAUACACCAGGUUCACCAAUGGCCCAAGAGCCGUCCAAUUAAAGAUGAAGGGACACAAUCCAUCUACGAUGUGGGCUGCACAAACAUUUACAAAUUAGACCUUGUAGUGCAGCUGAAUCGUACAAAACACACUUUCAGAGCCACUCAUGUUCUCCCUUUGACCUCUCUUUUACUGCUGAACCAGGAAGCUCGGGUUAUAAAAAAAUGCCCCAUCGCCUAUAUCCAGCUCUCCUGUACUAGCUAGUAUAGACAAAUGGACUAAGAAAUUAUGUAUAAGGUAAUAACAAUCACAAGGAGAACCUAGUUUUACAUUACAUAAUUCCCCUCUCCUAAAACAGAAGAUCUAAUGUGCUCUCUAGUUUAACAUUGUCACUCUUGUAUCUGAAACUGUUUCUCUACACAUACACUGCAUUUUUUUACAGAAGCAUUCACAUAUAGCUUGGUCACCAUGCAACCUCCUGAUCAGUUGAAAGAGAUGUCUUCAAUUGCUAAAAAUGAGAAACUGGAUGCAAGUUGAACAUUACCUUGAAGAGCAAACAUUUUAUUUAAAAGAUAAGCUUGCAACUGAACAUUUAUAGAGGACCUGAAAAACACAAACAACAUCUAUUUUCUGAUCUACAUCCAAAAGAAAAGGAUAAAACAAAAGUGAUCUGAUUGGAUAACAUUUAUCUUUAUAGUGCUGAAAAUUCAGUAAUAUUAGGUCCGGAAUUCUGUACCAGAUCAUGGUUCUUACUAAUAAAAUCCUGUUUGAGUGUCGACUCGAAGAAUCUGUUCUCACUUGCUGGAACAGGUUAAAGCUUUUCUUGUUCCUUUUCUGUUAAUUCUUUGUAAGCUGAUAUGUGUUACAGGAAAUGCAAACCACAAAGGAAAGAAUCCUAAUCCCAAAUUUCUCUUCAAUAACCUGAAACUGCUAUGUACCUAACCAAGUUUGUGGUUCAGGGGAAGAACCAUACAAUCGACUAGAGUGUUGAUCCUAUGAAAUUUCACAUAUAUAACGAGUACAUGUCUACGGAUUUAAUACUGCUGCCAGGGACAUUAUUAAGCACUGUUGUUCAGACAUCAUAGCCACAUGAAGAGUGUUUCUUGAGUUGCAGAGAACAAAAUGACUAAGCCAAGCUACUAACCAUCAGCACCCAGCAAGGGUAUUAUUUCAGAGGAUUGCUACAAUGUAUAACUAGUAUUGAUCUCACAAAGUCAGUUUCACACUUUCCGUUUACAUUUGUUUACAAAUGAAGGAUCAGAGAGCAGAUCUCUUUGUUUAUUUCUAUUCAAACUAUUUUUAUUGGGCAUAAAAGUUACAUUUCGCUUUAAGGUUGGGAUACAAGAGCUGCAAAAAUAUGUUACAAUAUCCAAAGUACACAAAGAUAGAAAGGGUGCUGGACCAUAAACCUUAAUUGUGCACAUCGUUAAAUUUGGAAGAGCAUUGGUCAUACUUAUCUCGCAAUAAAACGAAAUGGAGAAAAAUGAUGACCGAAGUAUGAAAGAAAAUAUGUCCAUAUCACUGAUAAAGGAAGAAGAGGGCACGCCCUCGAUUUAGAGCUCCUACAGAUGGACCACACUGAAGCACUCUCAACGAGCCACCGCCGGCCUGCCGCAAAAAGAACUUGAGUGUGCGUGGCCUAUUCAGAUGGUACAACAGCUGCUGGAGCUUCAAUAAGCGGAGAUCAUCAGUACAAGCUAGAUAGGAAACUCGAUUGGUAGAGGCGAUGGGGAGAUCGAGCGAAAUUUCGUAACCCUGAUCGCGUGGUACACAAGAGGGCGAGAGAAAGAGAAGACGACUGGGUUGAUCGCUUCGCAGUACUCAGAAGUCGGAACUAUUCAACGCCACCACAAGGGUCUCUCUGCAAAUGUUCCAGCAGCCCUCAUCGUAGAUGGAUUCUGUCCCUUUAUUUUUAAUCCGACGGCUCAUGGUCCAUUGGUGCACCUGGUGCAUGAGUUGGGGCGUUGCACAGGAUACAUUCUCCAAACACCCAGCGGCAGGUUCCGAGGUCGGCUAUGUCGACCACCAGUACUUGACCAAUGAAUAAACUAAGUUAAAACCCUGCUCUACAAGAUAUUACUUCCUCCGUUCUAAAUUACUUGUCGCAGAAAUGGAUGUAUCUAGAAGUCGCAGAAAUGGAUGUAUAUAGAACUAAAAUACAUCUAGAUACAUCCAUACCUGCGACAAGUAAUUCGGAACGAAGGGAGUACUGGGCAAAGAAAUAUAAGAGCAUAUAGAUCACUACUUUAAUGAUCUAAAUGCUCUUAUAUUUCUUUAGAGAGGGAGUACUAGUUUAGAACAAUUACCAUGGAAACUACCCACCCAGGUCAGAGUCUGAAUCUGCGGCUAGCUGCAAACCCUUACUAGAAGAUCACAGGAGACUAGACUAGAUUACUUUCUGCUUAGACCUAGAUGUAAUUUGCUGUCAGGAGAAAAAUUCUACAAAGAGAUUAGAACCAAUGUACUCCUAGAGCCCUAAAUUAAAUUAGGCAAGAGAGGCAGCCAGCCAAGGUGGUAGUGCUGCUACUACUACAUGCUACAGCCCAAAGACAAAAACAUGUUCCAUUCCAAUCGAUUCACAUGAGCCCCAAAGGAAAGAACAGUCUCUUUUUCUGAACUUGCCUCCUCUCCUUUUACCCCUCUCUCUCAUCAUGCAUGCGAUGUGGGUAUGGUAUGGCACCCCUCACGCCACAUGGCCAGAGGAACAAGAGCCAAAAAACAGUCCCCUCUGUAUCCCACUCACCACCGUCCAACACCCCUCUCGAAAAUGCACACCAUGCCCCAAUGCUUUCCUUUGUCCAGUUGCUACCUAGCUCCUCCCUCCCUCCCUCCAUGCUUCCAGGUCAG
rnacentral:lncRNA from 1 species